GAUGAACGCUAGCGGCAGGCCUAACACAUGCAAGUCGAGGGGUAACAUAGAAAAGCUUGCUUUUCUGAUGACGACCGGCGCACGGGUGCGUAACGCGUAUACAACCUACCUUUUAGCGGGGAAUAGCCCAGGGAAACUUGGAUUAAUGCCCCAUAGUAUAUAGACUUCUCCUGAAGUUUAUAUUAAACAUUUAUGGCUAUUAGAUGGGUAUGCGUCCUAUUAGUUAGUUGGUAAGGUAACGGCUUACCAAGGCAGCGAUAGGUAGGGGUCCUGAGAGGGAGAUCCCCACACUGGUACUGAGACACGGACCAGACUCCUACGGGAGGCAGCAGUGAGGAAUAUUGGACAAUGGGCGAGAGCCUGAUCCAGCCAUGCCGCGUGCAGGAAGACUGCCCUAUGGGUUGUAAACUGCUUUUACAGAGGAAGAACCACCCCACGUGUGGGGGUUUGACGGUACUCUGCGAAUAAGGAUCGGCUAACUCCGUG
rnacentral:rRNA from 1 species